ACGUAGGUGGCAAGCGUUGUCCGGAAUUACUGGGUGUAAAGGGAGCGUAGGCGGGAAGGCAAGUCGAUUGUCUAAACUAUGGGCUCAACCCAUAGUCGCGAUCGAAACUGUCUUUCUUGAGUGAAGUAGAGGUAAGCGGAAUUCCUAGUGUAGCGGUGAAAUGCGUAAAUAUUAGGAGGAACACCAGUGGCGAAGGCGGCUUACUGGGCUUUAACUGACGCUGAGGCUCGAAAGCGUGGGUAGCAAACAG
rnacentral:rRNA from 1 species